GAUGAACGCUGGCGGCGUGCCUAAUACAUGCAAGUCGAGCGAACGGACGAGGAGCUUGCUUCUCUGACGUUAGCGGCGGACGGGUGAGUAACACGUGGAUAACCUACCUAUAAGACUGGGAUAACUUCGGGAAACCGGAGCUAAUACCGGAUAAUAUUUUGAACCGCAUGGUUCAAAAGUGAAAGACGGUUUUGCUGUCACUUAUAGAUGGAUCCGCGCUGCAUUAGCUAGUUGGUAAGGUAACGGCUUACCAAGGCAACGAUGCGUAGCCGACCUGAGAGGGUGAUCGGCCACACUGGAACUGAGACACGGUCCAGACUCCUACGGGAGGCAGCAGUAGGGAAUCUUCCGCAAUGGGCGAAAGCCUGACGGAGCAACGCCGCGUGAGUGAUGAAGGUCUUCGGAUCGUAAAACUCUGUUAUUAGGGAAGAACAUAUGUGUAAGUAACUAUGCACGUCUUGACGGUACCUAAUCAGAAAGCCACGGCUAACUACGUG
rnacentral:rRNA from 1 species